rnacentral:rRNA from 1 species
CGUUAGUUGCCAGCGGGUAAAGCCGGGAACUCUAGCGAAACUGCCGGUGUAAACCGAGAGGAAGGUGGGAUGACGUCAAAUCAGCACGGCCCUUAUGUCCAGGGCUACACACGUGUUACAAUGGCCGGUACAGAGGGCAGCUACCUGGAGACAGGAUGCGAAUCUCGAAAGCCGGUCUCAGUUCGGAUCGGAGUCUGCAACUCGACUCCGUGAAGCUGGAUUCGCUAGUAAUCGCGCAUCAGCCAUGGCCGCGGUCGAAUACGUUCCGGCCUU